rnacentral:rRNA from 1 species
AAAAGCUAAUAAGGGCACACGGAGGAUGCCUAGGCAGCAACAGCCGACGAAGGACGUGAUAAGCUGCGAUAAGCCGGGAGAAGAUGCACAUAAUCAUUGAUCCCCGGAUUUCCGAAUGGGUAAACCUGCAUGCCUGGAGGGCAUGCGUGAAAACGGCAAGCCUGCGAACUGAAACAUCUAAGUAGCAGGAGGAAAAGAAAGUAAAAACGAUUCCCCAAGUAGCGGCGAGCGAACAGGGAAAAGCCUAAACCGUGCCAGUGUCAAGCGGACAGCGUUGCUGGCACGGGGUUGCGGGACUUCCAUUAACGGAUUGUCAUAAUGUUUAAUCUGCAUAUGUGUAAGUGGAACCAGUUGGGAAGCUGGACCGAAGAAGGUGAAAGUCCUGUAGAACAUAAAACAUAUAUGGAGACUGGAAGCACCCGAGUAGCGUCAGGCACGAGGAAUCUGGCGUGAAUCAGCGUGGACCAAAUCACGUAAGGCUAAAUACUGUUGCUGACCGAUAGUGAAGAGUACCGUGAGGGAAAGGUGAAAAGAACCCUGAGCAAGGGAGUGAAACAGAAUUUGAAACCGUGUGCUUACAAACGGUAGGAGCACUUUAUGUGUGACUGCGUGGAUUUUGGUUAAUCAUCCUGCGAGUUAUGACUGGUGGCAAGGUUAAUAAACGGAGCCGAAGGGAAACCAAGUCUUAAUAGGGCGUCAAGUCGCCAGUCAUAGACGCGAAACCUAGUGAUCUAGGCCUGUCCAGGCUGAAGCUGAGGUAAGACUCAGUGGAGGGCCGAACUCACCGCCGUUGAAAAGUUGGGAGAUGAGAUAGGUCUAGGGGUGAAAAGCCAAUCGAACUAGGAGAUAGCUCGUUCUCUCCGAAAUGCAUUUAGGUGCAGCCUUGAACUGAGAUAUGUGGGGGUAGAGCUCUGUAUGAUCUAGGGGGCGUACUGCUUACCGAAAUCAAGCAAACUUCGAAUACCAUAUAUCAUGUUCAGGAGUGAGUCCGUGGAUGACAAGGUCCUCGGACGAGAGGGGAACAGCCCAGACCGCCAGCUAAGGUCCCUAAUUAUGUCUAAGUGGGAAAGGAGGUGGACAUUCAUAGACAACCAGGAGGUUGGCUUAGAAGCAGCCAUGCCUUGAAAGAGUGCGUAAUAGCUCACUGGUCGAGAGUGCCUGCGCCGAAGAUGUAACGGGGCUAAGACAUAAACCGAAGCUGCGGAAGAUACACUGUAUCUUGGUAGGAGAGCGUUCUGUAGGCCGUCGAAGGGAUGCCGCAAGGCCGUCCUGGAGGUAUCAGAAGCGAGAAUGCAGGAAUGAGUAGCGAGAAGGCGGGCGAGAAUCCCGCCGGCCGGAAGUCCAAGGUUUCCAGGGGAAGGCUUGUCCGCCCUGGGGAAGUCGGGACCUAAGCAUAAGCAAAAUUGUGAUGGCGAAUGGAAAACAGGUUAAUAUUCCUGUACCGCUGUUAUCGCUUGAGAGACGGAGUGACGCAGGAAGGUAUGCGAGAAGGCUGACGGUUUAGCCUUUCUAAGGGCCCAGCGUGGGCGUGCAGGUAAAUCCGCACGCCUAAACGUGAGACCUGACGGGGAAGUGCUUUUGCAUAAGUCGCAGAUCCUACACUGCCAAGAAAAACUUCUAUCGAUGAGAAGCAGCGCCCGUACUGUAAACCGACACAGGUGGACAGAGUGAGAAACUUAAGGCCGACAGGAUAACUCUAGCUAAGGAACUCUGCAAAAUAGCCCCGUAACUUCGGGAGAAGGGGUGCCUGACAUACCUGAAGGAGAGAAGCGCUCCCAGGGGAAACAGGCCGCAGUGAAGAGUCUCAAGCAACUGUUUACCAAAAACACAGGUCUAUGCUAAGCUGAAAGGCGACGUAUAUGGGCUGACACCUGCCCAGUGCCGGAAGGUUAAGAGGAGGAGUGAGAGCUCCGAUUUGAAGCCCCGGUGAACGGCGGCCGUAACUAUAACGGUCCUAAGGUAGCGAAAUUCCUUGUCGGGUAAGUUCCGACCUGCACGAAUGGUGUAAUGAUUUGAGCGCUGUCUUGACGGGAGGCCUGGUGAAAUUGUAUUACCGGUGAAGAUACCGGUUACCUACAGUAGGACGGAAAGACCCCAUGGAGCUUUACUGUAGCUUGGUAUUGGGUUUUGGCAUUGCAUGUAUAGGAUAGUUGGGAGACUGAGAUGAUAUGGCGCUAGCUGUAUCGGAGUCAUCGGUGGAAUACCAACCAUUCAAUGCUGAAAUUCUAAUCUGUGGUUUGUAGCCACGGAGACAGUGCUAGGUGGGCAGUUUGACUGGGGCGGUCGCCUCCGAAAGAGUAACGGAGGCGUUCAAAGGUUCUCUCAGGUUGGAUGGAAAUCAACCAUAGAGUGCAAUGGCAUAAGAGAGCUUGACUGCAAGACUGACGGGUCGAGCAGAUGCGAAAGCAGGACAUAGUGAUCCGGCGAUUCCGAAUGGAAGGGUCGUCGCUCAACGGAUAAAAGCUACCCUGGGGAUAACAGGCUGAUCCUACCCGAGAGUCCAUAUCGACGGUAGGGUUUGGCACCUCGAUGUCGGCUCAUCGCAUCCUGGGGCUGGAGAAGGUCCCAAGGGUUGGGCUGUUCGCCCAUUAAAGCGGUACGUGAGCUGGGUUCAGAACGUCGUGAGACAGUUCGGUCCCUAUCCACUGUAGGCGUUAGAAUAUUGAGAAGACCUGUCCUUAGUACGAGAGGACCGGGAUGGACAAACCUCUGAUGUACCAGUUGUCACGCCAGUGGCACAGCUGGGUAGUCACGUUUGGAAUAGAUAACCGCUGAAAGCAUCUAAGCGGGAAACUAACUUCAAGAUAAGUAUUCUUUAAGAUACCUUCGAGCCUAGGAGGUUGAUAGGUUGGGGGUGUAAGUACAGCAAUGUAUUUAGCUGACCAAUACUAAUUAUCGAAGUUUUAAUCUA